rnacentral:rRNA from 1 species
UACGUAGGGGGCUAGCGUUGUCCGGAAUCAUUGGGCGUAAAGGGCGUGUAGGCGGUUCGGUAAGUCUGCUGUGAAAGUCCAGGGCUCAACCCUGGAAUGCCAGUGGAAACUGCCGAGCUAGAGUCCGGAAGAGGCGAGUGGAAUUCCUGGUGUAGCGGUGAAAUGCGCAGAUAUCAGGAGGAACACCAAUGGCGAAAGCAGCUCGCUGGGACGGUACUGACGCUGAGACGCGAAAGCGUGGGGAGCAAACAGG